rnacentral:rRNA from 1 species
GACGAACGCUGGCGGCGUGCCUAAUACAUGCAAGUAGAACGCUGAAGAGAGGAGCUUACUCUUCUUGGAUGAGUUGCGAACGGGUGAGUAACGCGUAGGUAACCUGCCUUGUAGCGGGGGAUAACUGUUGGAAACGAUAGCUAAUACCGCAUAACAAUGGAUGACACAUGUCAUUUAUUUGAAAGGGGCAAUUGCUCCACUACAAGAUGGACCUGCGUUGUAUUAGCUAGUAGGUGAGGUAAUGGCUCACCUAGGCGACGAUACAUAGCCGACCUGAGAGGGUGAUCGGCCACACUGGGACUGAGACACGGCCCAGACUCCUACGGGAGGCAGCAGUAGGGAAUCUUCGGCAAUGGGGGCAACCCUGACCGAGCAACGCCGCGUGAGUGAAGAAGGUUUUCGGAUCGUAAAGCUCUGUUGUAAGUCAAGAACGGGUGUGAGAGUGGAAAGUUCACACUGUGACGGUAGCUUACCAGAAAGGGACGGCUAACUACGUG